rnacentral:tRNA from 1 species
GCUGGGAUGGCGGAAUUGGCAGACGCGCUAGCUUGAGGGGCUAGUGGGCGAAAGCUUGUGGGGGUUCAAAUCCCCCUCCCAGCACCA